GCAGCCCUAGCUAUGUCGAUUAAUAAAACUCGAUUUUGACGGUCACAAACGAUUACAUGAUGAUCUGAUAGAUAGAGAUCAUUGAUGGGUUUGAAAACUUAUAAUAAUAAUCUUGAUAAUAUUUAUAGCAUACUAUCAAAAUUUUACUUCAAUUGAACAUCAUUAUCAUGGUCAAUUUAGUAUGAGAUGAUUUGGACUGUUAAAUGAAAAAUGAGUGAUCA
rnacentral:lncRNA from 1 species